rnacentral:rRNA from 1 species
CCUACGGGUGGCAGCAGUGAGGAAUAUUGGUCAAUGGACGAGAGUCUGAACCAGCCAAGUAGCGUGAAGGAUGACUGCCCUAUGGGUUGUAAACUUCUUUUAUAUGGGAAUCAAACGUUCCACGUGUGGGAUUUUGUAUGUACCAUAUGAAUAAGGAUCGGCUAACUCCGUUCCAGCAGCCGCGGUAAUACGGAGGAUCCGAGCGUUAUCCGGAUUUAUUGGGUUUAAAGGGAGCGUAGGUGGAUUGUUAAGUCAGUUGUGAAAGUUUGCGGCUCAACCGUAAAAUUGCAGUUGAAACUGGCAGUCUUGAGUACAGUAGAGGUGGGCGGAAUUCGUGGUGUAGCGGUGAAAUGCUUAGAUAUCACGAAGAACUCCGAUUGCGAAGGCAGUUCACUGGACUGCAACUGACACUGAGGCUCGAAAGUGUGGGUAUCAAACAGGAUUAGAUACCCCUGUAGUC